rnacentral:ncRNA from 2 species
GUUUAAACUGCAUGUACAGGUUGUUCCGGGACAAAAGUCCCGCGAGCCAAAAGGGAAAUCCCGAUAAUGGGUACGGACCCGCCGCUGUAACCGGGAACGAAAACUGCAAAUGCCACUGUUCAAAUGAACGGGAAGGCGCGGUGAGUAGAAAGAUCCGGAAGUCAGAAGACCUGCCUGUAUAUGUCCGCCAGA